GCCCUGGACUGCUCCCGGCCGCUCCACCUGCUACCAGCGCGCUCACCUUCGGCUCCGGCCUCCAGCCGCUCCACUCAGAGUCGCCUGAGAUGGUGCCCGGACGGAUCACGGUGGCGGCCGCGAACCGCGAAAAGCCAGGGGCAGAGCACCCCCACCUCCACACCCUCCUAGCUCUCUGAAGGCUUCGUGGGAGACCCCAGCUUUCGGGGCCAAGAUCAUGUUGGGCUGGGCGGCGUCAAUGGCUGGAGCAGAGACGAUCUGAAGAGGGGAUGGCCAUCCUUGGCUACCUUGUGCUGGCCACCUGAAGAGUCCCCCUGAACUUUCCCUUAUACCUGAGGAUCUGGCCUUGUCCCCUCUGUUGACCAAGUCCCCUCCCCUAGAGUCUUCACCCCUCCUGAUAACAGCCACUGUUUUCCUAAAUGGCCAUUUCAUACAGGGUACUGCGGGACAGAUGAGCCUCAUAAGGCUGGAUGAGCCUACAUGCUGACAUCUGGGGACUAUUUAUUCACUUUCAAGGCCUGCAGUCAUAAAUAAGGAGACUGGACUCCAUGGUGCCCACCAAGGACCCAGGGCACUCCGUGUACCCAGUGAAGCAUUGACUAGCUGUAAAUUCAGUCUAAGUAGAAACACUUUAAAGAUAUAGUAACCUGGAAAACAGGAGAUAUUUUAACCUUGUAAUUUACAGGAAGGGGGAUCUGUUUAAUGUAUGCUAUGCUGAUUACUAACACUGCUGAUGCUUGCUUUGGCUGUAAAGGUAUAAAAAUAAAAGUAACAAAAAGA